GGGAUAAUUUCUUCGGUUUGGUGUUUAGGUUCCUGUAAAAGAAAAAAAAAUACAGUAGGUUUUAAGAUAUUUUUUGGCAUAAAUCUUUUAGAAUAGUUAAGGGAGUCUUUAUCACUGGAUGGAUUGGAGAUUUCGUAUUCCUAUCGCUAGCGUUUGAGAUUUUAUGGCACCACAAGGAGUUAAUGGCGGAAAAGCGUAGAGAUAGGUUUUGGUGCUAUUAAUAGUAGUUUGCAUAGGAUUUAUGAUUGGAAUUGUAAUAAAAUAUCAUCAACUCUUUUAGAUGAUUUAAUUAGUUAUUUAUUGGGUAUUAAAGCUUUAAAGAUUAUUGGGUUAAUGUAUAACCAAAGAAAACAAUGCUUUGUUUAGACUACUCUAUUUGAUUGAAUAAUGGAAAUUUCUGGAUCAUGUCAGUUUGACUGUCUAUCAUAAUUA